ACCCAAGGCUGUAGAUUCCGGCGAUGCAUUCGUCCUCGGAGGACAACCGGUCCUCGACCUCUGCGUCGGUGAAGGUGAGAGCUCUCUGCAACUUUUUGGGACUGAAAACCUCUAUGUCGACCGUGUACACGGCUUUCACGGGGCGGUGAUCGGACAGCCUCAUAUCAACUACCUCGUAGGACAAUAGCCUCAUUCCCUUGCCAUACGAAAGAAUUCGGUCGCACCUACAGAGGUAGUCGGGAAAAUUUUCUGUUAGCACACGUCAUGACAACUUUGAGAUUUAUCAUCUCUGAAACCUUCAUGUGGAGUGAAUCAUGUAAAAGAAACAACCAACUUAUGCGGGUGAAGUUGAUGUAUUUGGCAGUAGUUCAUAUGUGGUGAUCGGAUUGCAUACCAUGAAGGGGUCCUUCUCCCAGAUUUUGGCUCAUCGCUUGUGUACUUGUUCGAGUUAAACCGGUACUUGUAUGUCGGAGGAAAGCUGAUUACUCCUUCGGUCCACCCGUCAAAUAAAUGUCCUUUCCUUAGUUCUACUCUUAGCUAUCAUACAAGGAAAAAAAGUGAGCUGGAAUAUAUGGAGAAGUAGAUUACUAUAUGCUACUACCACAGUUUACCUGAUCUUUCUCAAACAACCCCUUCCAGUCACAGUUCGAGAUAAAUUCAUGUGUUUUUUCGUAUGAUAAGUUGAUCCUAUAAUUGAGAUCCCCUAGCCAGAAUAUCCUUCUGAAAUAAUACAAAAUAUUAGACGUCUAUAAACUUUGAUGUAGCAAGCUAAACUCAUGUGGUGCUUAACAACAUUAAACUAGAAUUUCCUACAGGUAAGAUUUUCGGUGUGGGUGAAGUGCAAACAUACGAUUCUCUAUGACAGUGAUAUGUACUUCAUAAUUUGCUCCUCUCGUGUCAAAAUAUUUAAGUCUAUAUACCAAUAUAAAAAGCACUAGUUUGCUGGAACCAAACGUUUUCAACCAUCCAUGUACUUUCAAUCUACUGGCUCGUGCUUUUCAUUGGACCCUAGCAAAUUCGGCCUCAAAUGCGAACCAACUCCUAUAAUAUACCUUCUUAAAUUUGCAAAUUCAACCCUAAUUGUGGAAUAACUACUCCACUUAAGAGUAUCAGUAUUUUACUAGAUUGCUCCAUGGUAAACACCGAGGAAACAAUGUAUUCUGUGAAUUCGGAAUAGAGCCUAAGACAGCGGCGCAUAUUUGAGAUGGAGUGUGUGCAUUACUCUGGGCUCUUUAGAAUUGUCGGAAUGACGCUAUUUUUAAUAGACAAAACAUCACAAAUUUUUUGCAGGUUGUCUUCCGGGUGACUGGUUGGAUCCUCGCGUGGUCAUUACUCAGCUAUGCGGAAGUCAGGGAACAUAUAGCUUAUGGGUGCAACCGUUGGAAGAUGGUAGCACGGAUACCUACAACCGGUUUGGAUGGCAGUCCAACAAUAGGAUAUGUGUCUAGCCACCUUGUCCUAUUUUUGCCGGUUGUGGCAACUUAUUCUUUUGUUUUCGAUUUUGCUUGAGAACUUGUAUCUGAUUACGUACUUUCUGGAGACUUUGCUUAAUAAUAUGGUUGUGUGCAUCAAUUUUGAUCCAGAGGCCGGAGAUAAUCCUCCUUUUUUUAAAAUAAAUAAAUUUAUUUGACAGUCAUAGUCAAGGUUGUCAGAUUCAUGAUUCUAUCAAGCGAUUCUAUGACUUUACGAUCCAUAUUGAUUGGACCGAUUCAACAAUUCUAGUUAGCAGAAUAUAUGAUUUUAAGAUUCUA
rnacentral:lncRNA from 1 species